rnacentral:rRNA from 1 species
GAUGAACGCUAGCGGCAGGCUUAAUACAUGCAAGUCGAGGGGCAGCAGGGGUGUAGCAAUACACUCGCUGGCGACCGGCAAACGGGUGCGGAACACGUACGCAACUUACCCAAAACUGGGGAAUAGCCCGGGGAAACCCGGAUUAAUACCUCGUAACAUAAUGGAGUGGCAUCACUUUAUUAUUAUAGCUCCGGCGGUUUUGGAUGGGCGUGCGCCUGAUUAGGUAGUUGGCGGGGUAACGGCCCACCAAGCCUACGAUCAGUAACUGGUGUGAGAGCACGACCAGUCACACGGGCACUGAGACACGGGCCCGACUCCUACGGGAGGCAGCAGUAAGGAAUAUUGGUCAAUGGGACGCAAGUCUGAAACCAGCCCAUGCCGCGUGAAGGAUGAAGGUCCU